rnacentral:rRNA from 1 species
CUGGUAUGACUGGUUUUACUGAUUCCUCCCUCUUGAAGAACUGUAAUGCCAUUAAUUUGGUGUUGCAGGGAAUCAGGACUGUUACUUUGAAAAAAUUAGAGUGUUUAAAGCAGGCUUUAGCUUGAAUACAUUAGCAUGGAAUAAUGAAAUAGGACGUUUGAUCCUAUUUUGUUGGUUACUAGGAUUGACGUAAUGAUUAAUAGGGAUAGUUGGGGGCAUUAGUAUUCAAUUGUCAGAGGUGAAAUUCUUGGAUUUACUGAAGACUAACUACUGCGAAAGCAUUUGCCAAGGAUGUUUUCAUUAAUCAAGAACGAAAGUUAGGGGAUCGAAGACGAUCAGAUACCGUCGUAGUCUUAACCAUAAACUAUGCCGACUAGGGAUCGGAUGAUGUUAAUUUUUUAAUGACUCAUUCGGCGCCUUACG